CUCCUAAUUAAUUAGUCCAUGUAAAUAUUUGUGGAUAUGUAUAUAUAGCAGCAUGAGUGUGAAGAAUAAAUAGAAUUUUGAUCCUGCCAACACAGAUAUGAAACUUGUAGAUGAGAUCAAACUGUAAAUACUACGUCGUAGAACCAUGAUGCAUCAAUAAAGAAGCACUUGUACUUGGUGUACCUUAUGAUAUAUGCCUUGUUGAAGGCCUUGGAAACCCAACCCAAUUUUGAGAUUCCAAAGCCACCUGUGAAUUUCAUAUAUACUCUGAUUUAUAUACGAACAUCUGAAAUAUUAGAAGUACAAUAGUAAAAUAUAAAUGUCUCAUUAUCGUAGAUAUAAUUUCACUUUAUUUUACUGUUAAUUGUGAUAUUGUUUAUGGUUUCAUAUAAUUCAUUUUGUUACACUACUAAAGUCAUUAUUGUGCUUUCUCAGUUACCGAUAAGAAUACUAAGAUAUAUUAUGGUUUAAAUUCACAAGAGGAUCUAGACCACAUUGAUGGGCUAAUUGAAGAAGCA